rfam:Candidatus Kaiserbacteria bacterium RIFCSPHIGHO2_02_FTLL_50_50 rifcsphigho2_02_scaffold_542, whole genome shotgun sequence.
UUAACUUAGAGUUUGAUCCUAGCUCAGGGUGAACGCUGGCUGUGUGGAUUAGUCAUGCAAGUCGAAUGGGUUUAGACCCAUGGCAGACGAGGC